CAGUUUUAGAAGGGAAAUUUAUAUGCACAUUGUUAUGCAUUUAUCAGAUAUUCUUCCCCCAUAUAACAAAAAGGGUAGUAAUUUUGCUGAAUGUUUUAUGUUGAAGUUAUUUCAAGGUAUUUCAUGGAUAUGCCCAUGAUGUGUUUG